ACUUAAAUAAUUUGCGAUACCGGAACUAGAUCCAACAGAAAACAUAAUAAAUCGAUUUGCUCGGAAAUAUCAAGAUAUUUUUGUAGAAAAUAGAUCUAAAAUACUAAUAGUAAUAGAUCUUGGCACUGAUUAGAAAAUUGCACAAUAAUUACAUCUAGAUCUAGAAGGGGUUCUCUCAACAUGGAGACAGGAAUAAGACAAACACAGGGACAACAAAGAUACCAACAAUGUUUUAAACUUGAACACUGCAAUCAACUGAUUUACAACCCUCUGUAUUCAAGUGGCUAGAGUACUACCAUGUCUUUUGUGCUUAUGGGUUUAUGAUUACAGUAAAAAAUAAAACCAAGUGCUGUGAUAGGUUGAAACAAACCAGGUCCAUGGGACAGAUGGAGAGAUCAUGAGUUUCUCUGACCUUGGCAUAGGAAGGGAUAGUGUAGUCAAGUUCAAUACUAUGCUCAGCCACCUUUAUUUUCCCAACCAGUUACUAGAGCCCAUUAUUAGAACUUGAGACUAUCAGGAUUUACCAGCCUGAGGAUUAAGGCGUCUCUUCAAGAUGGAUGUUAGAACAUCACAGAUGGUUAUUUUUUCAGGCCACCUGAUGUUCAGUUUGCUACACAGCCAUUCAUUAUUGAAAGUCUCAGAACCAUAAAGGAGAACAAAUUUUACAUUGCUGUUCAAGUCAUAUUUGGAAAACUGUAGACAGCUCUUGACAUCCAUAUUGUGCGGAGAAUGUUGGAUACUUUGCUGAUAUGUCUUUUGAUGUCCUCAUCUGCUCCCCCAUCAUCUUACAACAGAUCCUAGAUGUGUAAAGUGAUCUUGCUCAAAUAGUCAUUUCUUGUGUUCUAAGUGGGAACUCCUGUUUGUUGUUGAUUCUUAUCACUUGUGUUUUUUCCAGUUGAUCAUUAAGCCUAUAUUAUUAUUAAGAAGGUUCAUCAUAGUUUGCUUAGCGUGGAUUGGGCAUGUUGUCAAUGUGAGAGUAUAGCAUCCUCAAUAUCUAGACCUCCAGCUAAGUGAGGGUCCACUGAAUUCCACCCUUUUGGUCUGAUGUACUUUAUACAUGAAAAGCGUAUAACAUUUCUGUACUCACUGAAAAAGGGCUGGUUAACUUGUGGAUAAUCUGGCAGUUGUAGUCUUUGUAGAGGUGUUGGAUAAUAUUGCUGAUUUUCAGAGGGGUUAUUAGUUGUUGAAUGUGCAAAUUCAAUUUUUUCAAUAGGUUGGCUUUCAUGUAUAGAUAUUCUGCUAUGCAGUAUUUGUUUAUAAAUAUGUCUAUCUAUCUAUUUAUGCAUAUAUUUAUGUUUGUGUGUGAAACUAAGGUCUAGUUACACACAGUCAUAUAAAAUUUAAAACUUGUUAGAUUAAGAUGUCUGUAGCCAUCAAAUUUUUAUUUAUUGUGGAGGUUGUAUGUAUUGAUUGCAUUUUGUCUAGUUAUUGAGCAUACUGAAAUCUGCUAAUAUUGAUUUAUUAUCUUCCUAUUUACUUGUCCACUUGUAACCUAUAUGAUCUAUUACUUAAUUGUAGCAUCAAAAGUAUUCUUUUAAUGUGAAUAAAAAUUUUAAACAAGU